GGGUCAGUAGGUUGGUCGUGCCACCGGUACGUACUGGUCUCACUGAUUCCUCCUUCCUGAAGAACCGUAAUGCCAUUAAUUUGGUGUUGUGGGGAAACAGGACUGUUACUUUGAAAAAAUUAGAGUGUUUAAAGCAAGCUAACGCUUGAAUACAUUAGCAUGGAAUAAUGAAAUAGGACGAUCGAUCCUAUUUUAUUGGUUUCUAGGAUUGACGUA
rnacentral:rRNA from 1 species